GACGGAGGGGGCUAGCGUUGGUCGGAAUUACUGGGCGUAAAGGGCGCGUAGGUGGUUAUCUACGUUAGGUGUUAAAGACCCGGGCUUAACCUGGGGGGUGCGCUUAAUACUGGAUAACUUGAGUGUGGAAGAGGAAAGUGGAAUUCCUAGUGUAGAGGUAAAAUUCGUAGAUAUUAGGAGGAACACCAGUGGCGAAGGCGACUUUCUGGUCCAUAACUUACACUGAGGAUCGAAAGCUUUGGGAGCAAACAGG
rnacentral:rRNA from 1 species